GGGGACCCGCAAGCGGUGGAUGAUGUGGUUUAAUUCGAUGCAACGCGAAAAACCUUACCCACCUUUGACAUGUACGGAAUCCUUUAGAGAUAGAGGAGUGCUCGAAAGAGAGCCGUAACACAGGUGCUGCAUGGCUGUCGUCAGCUCGUGUCGUGAGAUGUUGGGUUAAGUCCCGCAACGAGCGCAACCCUUGCCAUUAGUUGCUACGAAAGGGCACUCUAAUGGGACUGCCGGUGACAAACCGGAGGAAGGUGGGGAUGACGUCAAGUCCUCAUGGCCCUUAUAGGUGGGGCUACACACGUCAUACAAUGGCUGGUACAGAGGGUUGCCAACCCGCGAGGGGGAGCUAAUCCCAUAAAGCCAGUCGUAGUCCGGAUCGCAGUCUGCAACUCGACUGCGUGAAGUCGGAAUCGCUAGUAAUCGCGGAUCAGAAUGUCGCGGUGAAUACGUUCCCGGGUCUUGUACACACC
rnacentral:rRNA from 1 species